ACUCAAAGGAAUAGACGGGAGCUUGCACAAGCGGUGGAGCGUGUGGCUCAAUUCGUCGCUAAGCGAAGAACCUUACCAGGGCUAGAAAUCCUACUGCACGCCUCGGGAAACCGAGGAAGCCUUCGAGGGUGUAGGACAGGUGAUGCAUGGCUGUCGUCAGUUCGUGGUUUGAAUCGUUCCCUUCAGUGGGGUAACGAACGCAACCUUCGUUGCCUGUUACAAGUGUCAGGCGAGACUGCCCCCUCACGGGGGAGGAAGGUGGAGAUGACGCCAAGUCAGCAUGUCCCUCUGAUGUCCUGGGCUGCACACGCGCUACAAUCGCCGUUACAAAGGGACGCAAUAUCGCAAGAUGGAGCAAAUCCUUAAAAGCGGCGCCAGUUCGGAUUGGGGUCUGCAACCCGACCCCAUGAAGCCGGAAUCGCUAGUAAUCGUGGAUCAGCCAUGCCACGGUGAAUACGUUCUCAAGCUUUGUACACACCGCCCGU
rnacentral:rRNA from 1 species